rnacentral:hammerhead_ribozyme from 1 species
AUCCAGCUGAUGAGUCCCAAAUAGGAUAAAACGAGCAUUCUGGAU